rnacentral:rRNA from 1 species
GGAUCCAGACUUUGAUUCUGGCUCAUGACGAACGCUGGCGGCGUGCUUAACACAUGCAAGUCGAACGAGAAUCUACUGAAAGAGUUUUCGGACAAUGGAUGUAGAGGAAAGUGGCGGACGGGUGAGUAACGCGUGAGGAACCUGCCUUGAAGAGGGGGACAACAGUUGGAAACGACUGCUAAUACCGCAUGACGCAUAGAGGUCGCAUGAUCUUUAUGCCAAAGAUUUAUCGCUUCAAGAUGGCCUCGCGUCUGAUUAGCUGGUUGGCGGGGUAACGGCCCACCAAGGCGACGAUCAGUAGCCGGACUGAGAGGUUGAACGGCCACAUUGGGACUGAGAUACGGCCCAGACUCCUACGGGAGGCAGCAGUGGGGAAUAUUGGGCAAUGGGCGCAAGCCUGACCCAGCAACGCCGCGUGAAGGAAGAAGGCUUUCGGGUUGUAAACUUCUUUUAAGAGGGAAGAGCAGAAGACGGUACCUCUAGAAUAAGCCACGGCUAACUACGUGCCAGCAGCCGCGGUAAUACGUAGGUGGCAAGCGUUGUCCGGAUUUACUGGGUGUAAAGGGCGUGCAGCCGGGUCUGCAAGUCAGAUGUGAAAUCCAUGGGCUCAACCCAUGAACUGCAUUUGAAACUGUAGAUCUUGAGUGUCGGAGGGGCAAUCGGAAUUCCUAGUGUAGCGGUGAAAUGCGUAGAUAUUAGGAGGAACACCAGUGGCGAAGGCGGAUUGCUGGACGAUAACUGACGGUGAGGCGCGAAAGUGUGGGGAGCAAACAGGAUUAGAUACCCUGGUAGUCCACACUGUAAACGAUGAAUACUAGGUGUGCGGGGACUGACCCCCUGCGUGCCGCAGUAAACACAAUAAGUAUUCCACCUGGGGAGUACGAUCGCAAGGUUGCAACUCAAAGGAAUUGACGG